AAGAACUCUUGUCUGUCUUCGCUGAACUACUGGCGGACGGGUGACUCAUGUCUGGCCUGCUGGCUGAUGGAGGGGGAUUACUACUGGAAACGGCAGCUACUACCGCAUAACGUCUGAAGACCGACGUUGGGGACCUUCGGGCCUCUGUGCCAUCUGCAUGUGCCCAGAUGGGAUUAGCUAGCAAGUGGGGUAACGGCUCACCUACGCGACGAUCCCUACCUGGUCUGACAGGAUGACCGAUCACACUGGAUCUGACACACAGUCCAGACUCAUACCUAAGGCAGCAGUGAGGAAUAUUGCUCCAUGGGCGCACGCCUGACGCACCCAUGCCGCGCGCAUGAAUAAAGACUGCUGGCUGAUCAGUACUUUCUGCGGUGAGAAAAGAACUAAAGUGAAUACCUUUGCUCAUUGACGUGACCCGCUCAUAAAGCACCGGCUAACUCCGUGACAUCAGCCGCGGCACUACAGAACGUGCGAGCCUUACUCUGAAUUACUGGACGGAGAGCGCACGCAGGCGGUUUGUUAAGUCAGAUGUGAAAUCCCCGGGCUCGACCUGGCAACUGCAUCUGAUACUGGCUGGCUUGAGUCUCGGAGAGAGGGGUAAAAGUCCAUGUGUGAGC
rnacentral:rRNA from 1 species